rnacentral:pre_miRNA from 1 species
GCUGAGAGGAAUGUUGUCUGGCUCGAGGUCAUGGAGGUUGAUUCUCUCCAAUACUCUCUCUCUCGGACCAGGCUUCAUUCCCCCCAGC